GGGGAAUAUUGCACAAUGGGGGAAACCCUGAUGCAGCGACGCCGCGUGAGCGAAGAAGUAUUUCGGUAUGUAAAGCUCUAUCAGCAGGGAAGAAAAUGACGGUACCUGACUAAGAAGCCCCGGCUAACUACGUGCCAGCAGCCGCGGUAAUACGUAGGGGGCAAGCGUUAUCCGGAUUUACUGGGUGUAAAGGGAGCGCAGGCGGACCGGCAAGUUGGAAGUGAAAUCCAUGGGCUCAACCCGUGAAUUGCUUUCAAAACUGCUGGCCUUGAGUAGUGCAGAGGUAGGUGGAAUUCCCGGUGUAGCGGUGGAAUGCGUAGAUAUCGGGAGGAACACCAGUGGCGAAGGCGACCUACUGGGCACCAACUGACGCUGAGGCUCGAAAGCAUGGGUAGCAAACAGGAUUAGAUACCCUGGUAGUCCAUGCCGUAAACGAUGAUUACUAGGUGUUGGAGGAUUGACCCCUUCAGUGCCGCAGUUAACACAAUAAGUAAUCCACCUGGGGAGUACGACCGCAAGGUUGAAACUCAAAGGAAUUGACGGGGGCCCGCACAAGCAGUGGAGUAUGUGGUUUAAUUCGAAGCAACGCGAAGAACCUUACCAGGUCUUGACAUCCGAUGCAUAGUGCAGAGAUGCAUGAAGUCCUUCGGGACAUCGAGACAGGUGGUGCAUGGUUGUCGUCAGCUCGUGUCGUGAGAUGUUGGGUUAAGUCCCGCAACGAGCGCAACCCUUAUUGCCAGUUACUACGUAAGAGGACUCUGGCGAGACUGCCGUUGACAAAACGGAGGAAGGUGGGGAUGACGUCAAAUCAUCAUGCCCUUUAUGACCUGGGCUACACACGUACUACAAUGGCGUUUAACAAAGAGAAGCAAGACCGCGAGGUGGAGCAAAACUCAGAAACAACGUCUCAGUUCAGAUUGCAGGCUGCAACUCGCCUGCAUGAAGUCGGAAUUGCUAGUAAUCGCGGAUCAGCAUGCCGCGGUGAAUACGUUCCCG
rnacentral:rRNA from 1 species